AACGAACGCUGGCGGCAUGCCUAACACAUGCAAGUCGAACGAGACCUUCGGGUCUAGUGGCGCACGGGUGCGUAACGCGUGGGAACCUGCCCUUAGGUUCGGAAUAACUCCCCGAAAGGGGUACUAAUACCGGAUAAUGUCUUCGGACCAAAGAUUUAUCGCCUUUGGAUGGGCCCGCGUUGGAUUGGCUAGUUGGUAGGGUAAAAGCCUACCAAGGCGACGAUCCAUAGCUGGUCUGAGAGGAUGAUCAGCCACACUGGGACUGAGACACGGCCCAGACUCCUACGGGAGGCAGCAGUGGGGAAUAUUGGACAAUGGGCGAAAGCCUGAUCCAGCAAUGCCGCGUGAGUGAUGAAGGCCUUAGGGUUGUAAAGCUCUUUUACCCGGGAUGAUAAUGACAGUACCGGGAGAAUAAGCUCCGGCUAACUCCGUG
rnacentral:rRNA from 1 species